rnacentral:lncRNA from 1 species
GAAUAAUCUCUUCUUGCCUAUUUCUACCAGUUUGUCUUCUAGCAGGACAAGGAAAAGUGAAAAGAGACAAAAGCUCCAGAAUCUUUGGACCAUGAGGCCCAGAGAGAAGAGCUUAAUACAGCCUCCCAAACAGUUGGAGUGAAAGGAAUCCUGUGAAGGACACAAGUGAAGAAGCCCGUGAUAACCUGCUGAAUAAAGAGAGAUCUGUGGUCCAGUCACCCCUACUGCUUCCGCCAAUAGCCUAAGAAAUGCUGGAUAAGUGAGUGAGGCUAUCCUUGGUCAUCUCUGCUAGCUGACUGGCAAGCUGACUACAACAGCAUAAAAGAACCCAAUGGAAUUGGAGAGCUAAUGACCCAUAAAACUCAGAGUUGAUAUUUUAAAGUGCUUUAUAGUUUUCUUUUUAUAUAUGCACCACUAUAGUGUCCAUUUUCAAAUUAUUCAUCUGUUGAUUCCUAGGGAAAAUUAAUAGUCUAUAACAUAAAGUUCCUUUAAAACUUGGAUAUGAAGUCUUUGUAGUGUUACCUUUUUUUAGCAGUGGAGUGAAUAACAUCAAUAUAUCUAAUUAAUACCAAUAGAGAUUUUCCCCCAUUUGACCAAUUAUAAAAAUAUCAUUAAUAUUUUUCAGGAUACAUUGUGUUUGCAUAAGGGCUUUAUUAUAAAAUCAUUACUUUUUCCAGGAGGAUAUGUGAACAUGAAAGAACUGUCAAGUAGUUCCAAUGUUCCUCCAGACAUGGGGUAGAUUACAUUGUAGUUUAAACUGUACCAAUUCUUUUAACAAAUAAAUCAAAUAGACACUCUAAA